GACGAACGCUGGCGGCGUGCUUAACACAUGCAAGUCGAACGAAGUGGCGAACGGGUGAGUAAUACGUGGGUAACCUGCCCUCCUUUUUGGGAUAAGCCUUGGAAACGGGGCCUAAUACUGAAUAAAGGGGGAUGGGCUCGCGGCAUAUCAGCUUGUUGGUGGGGUGAUGGCCUACCAAGGCGGUGACGUGUAGCCGGCCUGAGAGGGUGACGGGCGACAUAGGGACUGAGAUACGGCCCAGAAUCCUACGGGAGGCAGCAGUGGGGGAUAUUGCAGAAUGGGCGAAAGCCUGAUGCAGCGACGCCGCGUGGGGGAGGAAGGCUGUCGGGUUGUAAACCUCUUUCGCAAGCGAACGGGUAGGUGGAGAAGAAGCGCCGGCUAACUACGUGCCAGCAGCCGCGGUAAUAC
rnacentral:rRNA from 1 species